rnacentral:rRNA from 1 species
UACAGAGGUCCCGAGCGUUGUUCGGAUUCACUGGGCGUAAAGGGUGCGUAGGUGGCAUAGAAAGUUUGAUGUGAAAGCUCAGGGCUUAACCCUGAAAUGGCAUUGAAUACUGCUGUGCUGGAGGUUUGGAGGGGGGACUGGAAUUCUUGGUGUAGCAGUGAAAUGCGUAGAUAUCAAGAGGAACACCAGUGGCGACGGCGAGUCCCUGGACAACACCUGACACUGAGGCACGAAAGCUAGGGGAGCAAACAGG